GUCCAUUGCAUUGCCAGCUCGCC
rnacentral:siRNA from 1 species